rnacentral:rRNA from 1 species
AGGGAAUUUUCCGCAAUGGGCGAAAGCCUGACGGAGCAACGCCGCGUGAGUGAGGACGGCCUUCGGGUUGUAAAACUCUGUUCUUGAGGAAGAAUUCCUUCCAGGCGAACAGCCUGAAAGGUUGACGGUACUCAAGGAGAAAGCCCCGGCUAACUACGUGCCAGCAGCCGCGGUAAUACGUAGGGGGCGAGCGUUAUCCGGAAUUAUUGGGCGUAAAGCGCGCGCAGGCGGCUGAUUAAGUCAGGUGUGAAAGGCUGCGGCUCAACCGCAGAGCGGCACCUGAAACUGGUCAGCUUGAGUGCAGGAGAGGGGAGCGGAAUUCCCGGUGUAGCGGUGGAAUGCGUAGAGAUCGGGAGGAACACCAGUGGCGAAGGCGGCUCUCUGGCCUGUAACUGACGCUGAGGCGCGAAAGCGUGGGGAGCAAAC